rnacentral:rRNA from 1 species
CCUACGGGAGGCAGCAGUAGGGAAUAUUGGUCAAUGGGCGAGAGCCUGAACCAGCCAUGCCGCGUGCAGGAAGAAGGCCCUCUGGGUUGUAAACUGCUUUUGACAGGGGCCAAAAUACUCAUGCGUGAGGAAUUGAGAGUACCUGUAGAAUAAGCACCGGCUAACUCCGUGCCAGCAGCCGCGGUAAUACGGAGGGUGCAAGCGUUGUCCGGAUUUAUUGGGUUUAAAGGGUGCGUAGGUGGCCUUAUAAGUCAGUGGUGAAAGCCUGCAGCUUAACUGUAGGACUGCCAUUGAUACUGUAGGGCUUGAGUACUGAUGAGGUAGGCGGAAUUGAUAGUGUAGCGGUGAAAUGCAUAGAUAUUAUCAAGAACACCGAUUGCGAAGGCAGCUUACUAAGGAGUUACUGACACUGAGGCACGAAAGCGUGGGGAUCAAACAGGAUUAGAUACCCUGGUAGUCCACGCACAACAUANAUACUCAUGUAUGNGAUAGAGUAGUAGUAGCGUCCGAACGACGGAAAGGAACGGUUAAAGGUUAAAGUUACCGUUACCGUUACGGGGUAGGGUUACGGUUACCGGACCGAACGGUUAGGUUAAACGUUAAAGUUAAGUUAAGUUAGUUACGGCGUUGAGACGNGCCGACGGACGACGACGAGGGAAGGUAGGAG